GAAAUGCGAUAAUUAAUGUGAAUUGCAGAAUUCAGUGAAUCAUCGAGUCUUUGAACGCACAUUGCGCCCCCUGGUAUUCCGGGGGGCAUGCCUGUCCGAGCGUCAUUGCUGCCCUCAAGCACGGCUUGUGUGUUGGGCUUCCGUCCCUGGCAACGGGGACGGGCCCAAAAGGCAGUGGCGGCACCAUGUCUGGUCCUCGAGCGUAUGGGGCUUUGUCACCCGCUCCCGUAGGUCCAGCUGGCAGCUAGCCUCGCAACCAAUCUUUUUAACCAGGUUGACCUCGGAUCAGGUAGGGAUACCCGCUGAACUAAAGG
rnacentral:misc_RNA from 1 species